UGAAAGUCGGAAAUUCCCAUAGAGCUACAGCAAAUCCACACGCGCGGGAAAAAUCACCUUGUUGUUUGAUCAGGUUUGAUCGUAGAUAAUUAUUAGUGAAAUGUCUGGACCUACUACUAACAGUACGCCUAGCGCUGAUGUUGGUAGUCCAAUUUGGAAAGAACACCGUAAGGAUAUAUUGCUAAUAUCGGCCAUUACAACCAUGAUUACAGGCAUUGCAGGAAUUUUAUUUUAUAUAGCUUUUACAAUUUGUGAUAAAAUUGAAGAAAGAAAUGAAGAAAGCCAACAAGUUGAUGGCAGUCCAAACACAACAACAAACAAAAGUUGGUUUCAAAAGCACAAAUGUUCAGUAUUGCCAGCAGUGAUAGCAUUUUUUGUUACAGUUUGUAUAUUAUUUCUUAUGGCAUGGUGUUGCAUAAGAAGAGGUUAUAAUCAAGUUGCAAAUUUAGUACUGUCCUGUCCUCGUCGUGUACAAGAGAGAAUCGUGGUUGAGCUUGGAAAUGCUUGUUGUAAUCAAGUUUUAGGCAAUGAUAGAGAUGCUGCUGAUCAGGGUGAACUACAACCUUUAGAUGCCCAGGGAGAAGAGGACAAUGACAUCACAAGAAGUGGAAGAAAUACAAAUGAAGAAAACAUUACUAUUUCAAGUCAGACUGAUACUAAUCUUGUCUCAUAUAUACUCUCAGAAAUCACCAGAAGUGGAAGAAAUACAAAUGAAGAGAACAUUACUAAUUCAAGUCAGACUGAUACUAAUCUUGAUAAUGAAGAUGUAUCCGGUAGAACAUGGUGGAACACCUUUUUUUUGCGGGGAACUCUAUUUUGUAUUUCUAUCUCAGAAAUCACCAGAAGUGGAAGAAAUACAAAUGAAGAGAACAUUACUAUUUCAAGUCAGACUGAUACUAAUCUUGAUAAUCAAGAUGUAUCCACAGAAGCUGUUGGCAGUCAAGAAGAAGGGUCAAGAAGGGUACGGACAAUUUCUUCAGAAAGUCAACCUUACAUUGAAGAAGGAAAUGUAAAUGGAACGUUAAUGGCAGUUUCUGGAAGUUCGCAUCAGGGAGGUGAAGGAGACACUCGUGGUAACGUGAAUUCUCACAUCACAAGAAGUGGAAGAAAUUCAAAUGAAGAAAACAUUACUUUUUCAAGUCAGACUGAUACUAAUCUUGAUAAUCCAGAUGUAUCCACAGAAGCUGUUGUCAGUCAAGAAGAAGGGUCAAGAAGGGUACGGACAAUUUCUUCAGAAAGUCUUGAACCUUGCAUUGAAGAAGGAAAUGUAAAUGGAACGUUAAUGGCAGUUUCUGGAAGUUCGCAUCAGGGAGGUGAAGGAGACACGCUUGGUAACGUGAAUUCUCAUAAUCAAGAUGUAUCCACAGCAGCUGUUGGCAGUCAAGAAGAAGGGUCAAGAAGGGUACGGACAAUUUCUUCAGAAAGUCAACCUUACAUUGAAGAAGGAAAUGUAAAUGGAACGUUAAUGGCAGUUUCUGGAAGUUCGCAUCAGGGAGGUGAAGGAGACACGCUUGGUAACGUGAAUUCUCGUAAGUUGGCCUAUAGAGAAGUUGUUAGUAUGCUCUAGAGAAAGGAGUUAUACAGUACAGGAAUGUGGAAGCGGUUUGCCACAGCGGGAACAGUUUGGUUUCCCAACCUCGAGACAAUGUGAAUGAAACAAGGAAUGUCAUAUCUGACCAGGAAGGUGAAGGAGACAAUGGUAAUGUGGAAUCUCGUUUACCUACGACUUCUUCAUUAUAAGUAACAAUGAAAACUGGAAAAAGA
rnacentral:misc_RNA from 1 species